UCCCUGGUGGCUCAGAUGGUAAAGAAUCUGCCUGCAAUGCAGGAGACCCAGGUUCAAUCUCUGGGUGGGGAA
rfam:TPA: Bos taurus chromosome 7, whole genome shotgun sequence.